GCUGGUGGUCUCCAGGUAGUCAGCUGCCAUUCACAGUGACCAGCCAGUCCUCCUUAAGACCUAGACCUGCAGCUGGACCUCAUUACUCCUUGGUAAAAGCAAGUCACAAGGGAGGAGACGCGGAGUCCACCUCUUGGUGUGUGGAGCUGCAGGCUGUGGUUAAGGUUUAACUCAUCAAGCGGACAUUGUCCAAACCCUUCCUGUUCCCAAGAAGAGGCUGGCCCUUGCUUGACCCCUGCGAGAUAACUUCUAAGCCCUCAGAAUGUCCCACCUCUUGAGUGCCUUUGUCACUGGGCCACACCCAGUGGUUUACCUGAUGAUGCCUAGUGGUUCCCUUGUGUCUAUGGGCUAUGCUUGAACUUGACCUUGGAGGGUUGAAGACUGAGUAACUAAGAUUGGACACAUGGUUGUCAACCAUGCCUAUGUGACUGACCCCCAAGAGAGACCCCGGACUCCACGGCUUGGGCGUGUCUUCCUGAUUGGCAGAACUUCCUGUUGUCACACAUCGUCACUGUGAGGAUAAAGCAGUGUCUAGGGGGCAGCUAGGCUCAUUCCUGGUCUCUCCUAGACUCUGACCCCUGUGACUUCGACCUUUGCUGCCUUUAAUCUGUGUCCUGUCACCUUGAUAAGCCAGGGCCAAGGCUGGCCGCCCCUCGGACGUUCCUGAGUCCUUCUGUGGGGUCGUGAAGCCCAGGGCUGGUCUUGGUGGCCAUCUUUGAAGAUCACCUGCCACCAGGAAGUGAAGGCGGGCAGUUCCAGGGGAGCCCCUAACAGACUCCUCUUUGUGCCUUGUUUUCCUGGAGGCUCUGCUUAGAUCAGGAAAAACCCACACCCUGGACCGGGCGCCCUGGGCUGCAGCAGAGCAGCUGGGGAGAGGCAAGCAGCUAGCGCAGGUCCCCUUGUUGAUGGGGUGGGUGUGGCCCAGGGAGGUUAAGUGCCUUGCCCACGCCCUCACAGCCUUCCUGACUCCAAAGCCUGGUCCCGAGGUUGAAACCUCUACCACUGCACCCGGC
rnacentral:lncRNA from 1 species